rnacentral:rRNA from 1 species
GAUGAACGCUGGCGGCGUGCCUAAAACAUGCAAGUCGAGCGAACAGACGAGGAGCUUGCUCCUCUGACGUUAGCGGCGGACGGGUGAGUAACACGUGGAUAACCUACCUAUAAGACUGGGAUAACUUCGGGAAACCGGAGCUAAUACCGGAUAAUAUAUUGAACCGCAUGGUUCAAUAGUGAAAGACGGUUUUGCUGUCACUUAUAGAUGGAUCCGCGCCGCAUUAGCUAGUUGGUAAGGUAACGGCUUACCAAGGCAACGAUGCAUAGCCGACCUGAGAGGGGGAUCGGCCACACUGGGACUGAGACACGGGCCAAACUCCUACGGGAGGAAGCAGGAGGGAAGCUGCCGCAAUGGACGAAAGGCGGACGGAGCAACGCCGCGUGAGUGAAGAAGGUUGUCGGAUAGUAAAACUCUGUUGUUAGAGAAGAACAAGUGCUAGAGUAACUGGUGGAGCCUGGACGGUACCUAACCAGAGAGCCAGGGAUAACUACGGG